rnacentral:rRNA from 1 species
CCUACGGGUGGCAGCAGUGAGGAAUAUUGGUCAAUGGGCGCGAGACUGAACCAGUCAAGUAGCGUGAAGGAUGACUGCCCUACGGGUUGUAAACUUCUUUUAUAAAGGAAUAAAGUGAGGCACGUGUGCCUUUUUGUAUGUACUUUAUGAAUAAGGAUCGGCUAACUCCGUGCCAGCAGCCGCGGUAAUACGGAGGAUCCGAGCGUUAUCCGGAUUUAUUGGGUUUAAAGGGAGCGUAGAUGGGUUGUUAAGUCAGUUGUGAAAGUUUGCGGCUCAACCGUAAAAUUGCAAUUGAUACUGGCAGUCUUGAGUACAGUUGAGGUAGGCGGAAUUCGUGGUGUAGCGGUGAAAUGCUUAGAUAUCACGAAGAACUCCGAUUGCGAAGGCAGCUUACUAAACUGCCACUGACAUUGAUGCUCGAAAGUGUGGGUAUCAAACAGGAUUAGAUACCCCAGUAGUC